GGCCUGAUGGUCUAGUAGUAAGAUGCCUCGUUCGGGUCGCUGAAUACGGUCAAUGGUUGAACCCCACUCGAGGAGAGCCUGGGUUCAAAUCCCAGUCAGGCCC
rfam:Moniliophthora roreri MCA 2997 sctg_0296_0003, whole genome shotgun sequence.